rnacentral:lncRNA from 1 species
AAAGAUCUAAGGUCCUGCCCACCAAUUAAGGUUGUAUGCGUGAAAGAGGAUAUUUAGGUCGUUUAGAUAACCACUGAGAAAUAAGAGAGGUAAAUUUUUAAAAAUUAAUAAAAAUAUCCUUCUUACCUUAUUGAAGAUCAAACUUAAUUGUCCUAGUUAUGGACAAGAAAAAGGUACACUACAUGUCAGUAUAUGAAGGAUACCUGUAGAAUAGAAAUUUCAUUUUGAAUGAGCCAACAAAACUACAAUACUUCAACCAAUUUGCAAAUGAACCACUUACAAAACUUUGCCACAAUCUCAGAAUUCUCCCUUCUGACGGGAUGCAACAUAAAUUAUCAUCGAAUAGGCCUGGUAGCUGUGGUGAAUUUAUAACAUGUAAACAUAUUUUAUAUAAAGUUCAUUCUUUUUUCUGCUUGCAUUCCCAGACCAAUCCUCGCCUCUUGUCCAGAAGUUUAUAUCCAAAUGCUGCUGAACGCUUCCUCGAUUGCCCUCCUCUUGCCCAGCUCAAUGGUCCAUCCUCCAGCUCUGGCCCCUCUCUCUGCUCGUAGCUUCAUUGCUUCCUCGUCGUCGACCGCAUAGCCCUGCAGGAGAUCAGCUGGACCUCCAACAGGGACAGGCUGUGGAGCCAUACCUGUUGGGCGUGGCUGUGCAAGCCCACUGCCCAGGACAGCUGCAGGGGCAUACUGCCCUUGCACACCAAUACCACCGCUAACGCCUUGAGAGCUCU